rnacentral:lncRNA from 1 species
CCGAUUCAUCUGAAAAUUUCAGGGCAGAUAGAUCUUGAACUGAUAAACAAUUUUACCCCAUGUCAGAUUUGCUCUAAAUGCUUUGGGUUUUGAGUUAUAAGCCAAAAACUGCAUUUUACCCCAUGUUCUAUUUUUAGCCAUGGCCGCCAUCUUGGUUUGAUGGCCGGGUCACCGGACACAUUUUUCAAACUACUAAUCCAAAAGAUGAUUGUGGCCAAGUUUGGAUUAAUUUGGCCCAGUAGUUUCAGAGGAGAUUUUUGUAAAAUAUUACUAAGAUUUACGAAAAAUGGUUAAAAAUUGACUAUAAAGGGCAAUAACUCCUAAAGGGGUCAACUGAC